AGCAGCCGCGGUAAUUCCAGCUCCAAUAGCGUAUAUUAAAGUUGUUGCAGUUAAAAAGCUCGUAGUUGAAUUUCGGGGUCAGCAAGUUGGUCGUGCCACUGGUAUGCACUGGCUUUACUGGUUCCUCCUUCUUGAAGAACUGUAAUGCUAUUAAUUUAGUGUUGCAGGGAAACAGGACUGUUACUUUGAAAAAUUAGAGUGUUUAAAGCUGGCUAACGCUUGAAUACAUUAGCAUGGAAUAAUGAAAUAGGACGUUUGAUCCUAUUUUGUUGGUUUCUAGGAUUGACGUAAUGAUUAAUAGGGAUAGUUGGGGGCAUUAGUAUUCAAUUGUCAGAGGUGAAAUUCUUGGAUUUAUUGAAGACUAACUACUGCGAAAGCAUUUGCCAAGGAUGUUUU
rnacentral:rRNA from 1 species